rnacentral:rRNA from 1 species
UUGACCUCGGAUCAGGUAGGGAUACCCGCUGAACUUAAGCAUAUCAAUAAGCGGAGGACAAGAAACCAACCGGGAUUGCCCUAGUAACGGCGAGUGAAGCGGCAACAGCUCAAAUUUGAAAUCUGGCUCUUUUAGAGUCCGAGUUGUAAUUUGCAGAGG